rnacentral:rRNA from 1 species
ACGCUGGCGGCAGGCCUAACACAUGCAAGUCGAGCGGUAGAGAGGAGCUUGCUUCUCUUGAGAGCGGCGGACGGGUGAGUAAUGCCUAGGAAUCUGCCUGGUAGUGGGGGAUAACGUUCGGAAACGGACGCUAAUACCGCAUACGUCCUACGGGAGAAAGCAGGGGACCUUCGGGCCUUGCGCUAUCAGAUGAGCCUAGGUCGGAUUAGCUAGUUGGUGGGGUAAUGGCUCACCAAGGCGACGAUCCGUAACUGGUCUGAGAGGAUGAUCAGUCACACUGGAACUGAGACACGGUCCAGACUCCUACGGGAGGCAGCAGUGGGGAAUAUUGGACAAUGGGCGAAAGCCUGAUCCAGCCAUGCCGCGUGUGUGAAGAAGGUCUUCGGAUUGUAAAGCACUUUAAGUUGGGAGGAAGGGUUGUAGAUUAAUACUCUGCAAUUUUGACGUUACCGACAGAAUAAGCACCGGCUAACUCUGCGCCAGCAGCCGCGGUAAUACAGAGGGUGCAAGCGUUAAUCGGAAUUACUGGGCGUAAAGCGCGCGUAGGUGGUUAGUUAAGUUGGAUGUGAAAUCUCCGGGCUCAACCUGGGAACUGCAUUCAAAACUGACUGACUAGAGUAUGGUAGAGGGUGGUGGAAUUUCCUGUGUAGCGGUGAAAUGCGUAGAUAUAGGAAGGAACACCAGUGGCGAAGGCGACCACCUGGACUGAUACUGACACUGAGGCGCGAAAGCGUGGGGAGCAAAC